GACGAACGCUGGCGGCGUGCCUAAUACACGCAAGUAGAACGCUGAAGGAGGAGCUUGCUUCUCUGGAUGAGUUGCGAACGGGUGAGUAACGCGUAGGUAACCUACCUGGUAGCGGGGGAUAACUAUUGGAAACGAUAGCUAAUACCGCAUAAGAGUAGAUGUCGCAUGACAUUUGCUUAAAAGGUGCAAUUGCAUCACUACCAGAUGGACCUGCGUUGUAUUAGCUAGUUGGUGAGGUAACGGCUCACCAAGGCAACGAUACAUAGCCGACCUGAGAGGGUGAUCGGCCACACUGGGACUGAGACACGGCCCAGACUCCUACGGGAGGCAGCAGUAGGGAAUCUUCGGCAAUGGACGGAAGUCUGACCGAGCAACGCCGCGUGAGUGAAGAAGGUUUUCGGAUCGUAAAGCUCUGUUGUAAGAGAAGAACGAGUGUGAGAGUGGAAAGUUCACACUGUGACGGUAUCUUACCAGAAAGGGACGGCUAACUACGUG
rnacentral:rRNA from 1 species